rnacentral:rRNA from 1 species
GAUGAACGCUGACAGAAUGCUUAACACAUGCAAGUCUUUGGCGAAGCUGUGCUUGCACAGCCUAGCCAAGGCGGACGGGUGAGUAACGCGUAAGGAACUUGCCCUGCAGUCAGGGAUAACAGACGGAAACGACUGAUAAGACCUGGUAAAGUCAGGCGGACUCAUGUCCAGCCUGAUGAAAAGAGAUGCUGCGGGGGGCCGUUCGUCCCUAUAGCUUGUUGGUGGGGUAACGGGCCACCAAGGCGAAGAUAGGUAGCCGGGCUGAGAGGGGGGACGGCCACAAGGGGACUGAGAUACGGCCCUUACUCCUACGGGAGGCAGCAGUGGGGAAUAUUGGACAAUGGGGGCAACCCUGAUCCAGCAAUUCUGUGUGAACGAUGAAGGUUUUCGGAGUGUAAAGUGCUUUCAGCAGGGAAGAAAAAAAUGACGGUACCUGCAGAAGAAGCGACGGCUAAAUACGUG